UUUCGAUAGCGUAAAAGUUAUCUCAAAUUUGUAUUGAGUUGGAACGUUUGCCGCUAGGGACGCUGUUCCAACUGCAUACAAAUUUGAGUUAACUUUUACGCUAUCGA
rnacentral:pre_miRNA from 9 species